CCUACGGGAGGCAGCAGUGGGGGAUAUUGCACAAUGGGGGGAACCCUGAUGCAGCGACGCCGCGUGGGUGAAGAAGCGCCUCGGCGCGUAAAGCCCUGUCAGCAGGGAAGAAAAUGACGGUACCUGAAGAAGAAGCCCCGGCUAACUACGUGCCAGCAGCCGCGGUAAUACGUAGGGGGCAAGCGUUAUCCGGAUUUACUGGGGGUAAAGGGGGCGCAGACGGCGAUGCAAGCCAGGAGUGAAAGCCCGGGGCCCAACCCCGGGACUGCUCUUGGAACUGCGUGGCUGGAGUGCAGGAGGGGCAGGCGGAAGUCCUGGUGUAGCGGUGAAAUGCGUAGAUAUCAGGAGGAACACCGGUGGCGAAGGCGGCCUGCUGGACUGCAACUGACGUUGAGGCCCGAAAGCGUGGGGAGCGAACAGGAUUAGAUACCCCUGUAGUC
rnacentral:rRNA from 1 species